rnacentral:rRNA from 1 species
UACGGAGGGAGCGAGCGUUGUUCGGAAUUACUGGGCGUAAAGCGUGCGCAGGCGGUCUUAUAAGUCAGAAGUGAAAGCCCUGGGCUCAACCCAGGAAUUGCUUUUGAAACUGCAAGACUAGAGUAUCGGAGAGGUUGGCGGAAUUCCCAGUGUAGAGGUGAAAUUCGUAGAUAUUGGGAGGAACACCAGUGGCGUAAGCGGCCAACUAGACGAUUACUGACGCUCAGGCACGAAAGCGUGGGGAUCAAACAGG